rnacentral:rRNA from 1 species
AUACGUAGGGGGCGAGCGUUGUCCGGAAUGAUUGGGCGUAAAGGGCGCGUAGGCGGCCCGGUAAGUCUGGAGUGAAAGUCCUGUUUUUAAGAUGGGAAUUGCUUUGGAUACUGUCGGGCUUGAGUGCAGGAGCGGUAAGUGGCAUUCCCAGUGUAGCGGUGAAAUGCGUAGAGAUUGGGAGGAACACCAGUGGCGAAGGCGACUUACUGGACUGUAACUGACGCUGAGGCGCGGAAGUGUGGGGAGCAAACAGGAUUAGAUACCCUGGUAGUCCACACUGUAAACGAUGAAUGCUAGGUGUAGGGGGUAUCGACCCCUUCUGUGCCGCAGUCAACACAAUAAGCAUUCCGCCUAGGGAGUACGGCCGCAAGGUUGAAACUCAAAUGAAUUGGCGGGG